rnacentral:pre_miRNA from 1 species
AUAAUACUCCCUCCGUCCCAAAAUAAGUGACUCAACUUUGUACUAAAGUUGGUACAAAACUGAGUUAUUUUUGAGUCACUUAUUUUGGGAUGGAGGGAGUAGCAU